UACGGAGGGUGCAAGCGUUAAUCGGAAUUACUGGGCGUAAAGCGCGCGUAGGCGGCUUUGCAAGUCGGGUGUGAAAUCCCCAGGCUUAACCUGGGAACUGCAUUCGAGACUGCAUUGCUAGAGUAUGGGAGAGGGAAGUGGAAUUUCCGGUGUAGCGGUGAAAUGCGUAGAGAUCGGGUGGAACACCAGUGGCGAAGGCGGCAUCCUGGCCCUGACCUGACGCUGAGGCGCGAGAGCGUGGGGAGCAAACGGG
rnacentral:rRNA from 1 species